GAUCUCAAAUCAAGUAAGACUACCCGCUGAACUUAAGCAUAUCAAUAAGCGGAGGAAAAGAAACUAACAAGGAUCCCCUAGUAACGGCGAGUGAAGCGGGAUGAGCUCAAAUUGAAAUCUGGCUGGUUUACUAGUCCGAGUUGUAAUUUAAAGAAGCGUUUUCGGUGGCAGCCUGGGUAUAAAUCCUUUGGAAUAGGGUAUCAUAGAGGGUGAGAAUCCCGUCUUUGACCUAGUGCAUGCUACUAUGUGAUACGUUUUCAAAGAGUCGAGUUGUUUGGGAAUGCAGCUCAAAAUGGGUGGUAAAUUUCAUCUAAAGCUAAAUAUUGGCGAGAGACCGAUAGCGAACAAGUACCGUGAGGGAAAGAUGAAAAGAACUUUGAAAAGAGAGUUAAACAGUGCGUGAAAUUGUUGAAAGGGAAACGUUUGACACCAG
rnacentral:rRNA from 1 species